CCAUCCCACCCAAGGGGAAAGGCCUUUCUAGUGGCCAAGACCUCAGAGGCCAACGUACAAUGUCCAACACAGGCAACUCUGACUGUUAGCUGCCUACUGUCCCUUCUCUGUCCUGUGUAAAGUAUAAGGAGUUUCCGGGAACCAUGGGAUGAAGAGCUGGAAUUGACUUCAGACAUCAUUUAGUGAACUGCCUCAUUUUAUAGCAUUCAGUAAGAGUGAAUCCGGUCAGUCUCACAGGCAUGGAAAGCGGAUUUCAGCUUCAGUAGACACUUCAGCAGUGGUCCUGGCUGUGGCUCUGCCUGAUGGUUGUGCAGUCAAUAUGCCCAUCUCUGACUCUGUCCCCUGGAGAUGCUCCCUCACCCCAGGAAUUCAGGCUUUUUCAGGGAGAGAACAGCCCUGACCCUGAGCCCACACCUAUGAGAAGUCCCAGUCAAGGACCCAUGAGGGACAGCUCUUCCUGUGGAGAGGAGACAUCCUCUACCUUAGAGCUGAUUAUGUUAGACUUCCAGUGGCAUCAAAAGAACAAGACCUCAAAAGAGCUAGACCUUUCAACAAGUUCUUCAAAAGAAAUCUUCCCACAAAAACACCUGCAUCAUUUAUUCUGCAAAAGCACAACUGUUUGGGUAAGUUGUAAAGUGCCUGAAGCCUCUUCCCACUACAUACCUGAGGAUUUUCUCCACCUGCUGUAUUGAAAUCUAAACACAGAAAUAAGCUUGGAUGUACAAUAUUCUAAGGUUGAAAUCUUCACUCCAGUCUUCUGCUAGAUUUCCAAUUUUUGAAAGCUGUCAAAAACUCAUUCCUCUCAUUGAAUAACUCAGUGUGACAGAAAAGCAGACACAUUCUAUAAACCCAAUAAAUACUUUGUCUCCCACAUAUAUGGAUUACCAUGUGCUUAAUUGUGUGUAGAUGCUGGUGUAAUCAAUAAAAUACAAAUUCAGGCUAUAAAACCAUUCAUCCCCUUCAACCCAGAAAUAUCACUACUAGGUCUG